rnacentral:rRNA from 1 species
GAUGAACGCUGGCGGCGUGCCUAAUACAUGCAAGUCGAGCGAACAGAUGAGGAGCUUGCUCCUCUGACGUUAGCGGCGGACGGGUGAGUAACACGUGGAUAACCUACCUAUAAGACUGGGAUAACUUCGGGAAACCGGAGCUAAUACCGGAUAAUAUAUUGAACCGCAUGGUUCAAUAGUGAAAGACGGUUUUGCUGUCACUUAUAGAUGGAUCCGCGCCGCAUUAGCUAGUUGGUAAGGUAACGGCUUACCAAGGCAACGAUGCGUAGCCGACCUGAGAGGGUGAUCGGACACACUGGAACUGAGACACGGUCCAGACUCCUACGGGAGGCAGCAGUAGGGAAUCUUCCGCAAUGGGCGAAAGCAUGACGGAGCAACGCCGCGUGAGUGAUGAAGGUCUUCGGAUCGUAAAACUCUGUUAUUAGGGAAGAACAAAUGUGUAAGUAACUAUGCACGUCUUGACGGUAGCUAAUCAGAAAGCCACGGCUAACUACGUG